AGAUCUUUUAAACCUUCUACAGCGUACGUGGGUUGUUUUAUUCUCCAAUUACAAUUCCUCUCAAAUUAUUAGCUUGCAUUGUGCAAUACUAAUGACAUGUUUGAUGCUUAAUUAUAAUUAAGCAAACGCAAUUUGCAAUUAAUUAAUAUAAAUUUUGUUUCACUGUCAACUUUGUAACAAUAUAAAUAUAGUUAAUGGGCAUAUUAUAGUUUUGAGUACAUUUUGAGAUUGAACAGUGGCGAUUUUAUGUUUUUUUUGAGACCUUUCAAUCAAUAUUUAAGUAUUGAAAACCUUGUUAUAAUCUUUGUUAACAAGAUAUUCAGAAGUUUUACUGAUGCUCCCGUGGUUAAAUUAAAUUGUUCUUCAAUCUGCAAAUGUUUUUCUAAAUCCGCUAAGAUUUCUCAUCUUCUAUAUCGUUUAUUUGCAACUGAAAGCAGAUAUGGGAGACAAG
rnacentral:misc_RNA from 1 species